rnacentral:siRNA from 1 species
UCAAAUUCCUUGUGUACAUGCUGC